CCUACGGGUGGCUGCAGUGGGGAAUAUUGGGCAAUGGGCGCAAGCCUGACCCAGCAACGCCGCGUGAAGGAAGAAGGCUUUAGGGUUGUAAACUUCUUUUCUCAGGGACGAAGAAAGUGACGGUACCUGAGGAAUAAGCCACGGCUAACUACGUGCCAGCAGCCGCGGUAAUACGUCGGGUGCAAGCGUGAUCCGGAUUUAUUGGGUGUACAGGGCGUGUAGGUGGGAUCGCAAGUCAGAUGUGAAAACUCAGGGCUCAACCCUGAGCCUGGAUUUGAAACUGGGUGUCUUGAGUGCUGGAGAGGCAAGCGGAAUUCCGGGUGUAGCGGUGAAAUGCGUAGAUAUACGGAGGAACACCAGUGGCGAAGGCGGAUUGCUGGACAGUAACUGACGCUGAGGCGCGAAAGCGUGGGGAGCAAACAGGAUUAGAUACCCGAGUAGUC
rnacentral:rRNA from 1 species